rnacentral:rRNA from 1 species
GGGAAUAUUGGACAAUGGGGGAAACCCUGAUCCAGCAAUGCCGCGUGAGUGAAGAAGGCCUUAGGGUUGUAAAGCUCUUUCGCCCGCGAAGAUAAUGACGGUAGCGGGAGAAGAAGCCCCGGCUAACUCCGUGCCAGCAGCCGCGGUAAUACGGAGGGGGCUAGCGUUGUUCGGAAUUACUGGGCGUAAAGCGUACGUAGGCGGAUGCGCAAGUUGGGGGUGCAAUCCCGGGGCUUAACCUCGGAAUUGCCCUCAAAACUGCACGUCUUGAGACCGAGAGAGGUAAGGGGAAUUCCUAGUGUAGAGGUGAAAUCCGUAGAUAUUAUGAAGAACGCCAGUGGCGAAGGCGCCUUACUGGCUCGGUACUGACGCUGAGGUACGAAAGCGUGGGG